CCAGCAGAUGAAGAGGGGAUAUUGGCCCUUUGGCCAGGAGGGUGGAAUGGAAGUUAAGGAGCCUCAGGUCCGUUUAGGCCGUCUCUUCCUGUACAGUUUCAAUGACAACAACUCUAUUCACCCUCUGGUCGAGGUCCAAAGAAAAGAUACUUCUGCGAUCCUGGACAUGAAAUGAUAUACAACCACUUCCUGUUGUGUCACACUUGCCUGCAGUAACAUGCUGUAAGGUUUGUGGCAUAGGAGCAGUGGGCCAUACCAUAUAGUCAAGGUGUCACAUCCCGGUGGCUGGACAUGCCCUCUUGGGCUUGGCAGAUGCCAGUGGAUCCAUACAACUGCUCCGCCUGGUGGAAUCUGAGGAAGUCACCUCAUGUGUCACCAGCAGAAGGGCUGAAGUGACAGGAUGUUCAUUGACCUGUCAGUGGAUCUGAAAGUUCUCUAAGGAGAGCCUGGGCAAGCAUUCUUAGGUUGAUGCUGGGGCCCAGAGUAGCAGUGAGCGUCCUGUGUGAAGAUGGCAUUUCUCACUGAUUAUUGGAAAAGCACAAGAGCCACGUGCUGGAGCCAUUGUCCAGCCUUGCCCUGGAGGAGCAGUGUCUGGCUUUGUCCCUCGAUUGGUCCACUGGGAAAACUGGAAGGGCGGGGGACCAGCCCUUGAAGAUCAUCAGCAGUGACUCCACAGGGCAGCUCCACCUCCUGAUGGUGAAUGAGACGAGGCCCAGGCUGCAGAAAGUGGCCUCAUGGCAGGCACAUCAAUUCGAGGCCUGGAUUGCUGCUUUCAAUUACUGGCAUACAGAAAUUGUG
rnacentral:sRNA from 1 species